UACAGAGGUCUCAAGCGUUGUUCGGAUUUAUUGGGCGUAAAGGGCUCGUAGGCGGCCUGUCGCGUCGGGAGUGAAAGCCCACUGCUUAACGGUGGGUCUGCUUCCGGUACGGGCGGGCUGGAGUAUGGCAGGGGAGACUGGAAUUCCUGGUGUAGCGGUGGAAUGCGCAGAUAUCAGGAGGAACACCGGUGGCGAAGGCGGGUCUCUGGGCCAUUACUGACGCUGGGGAGCGAAAGCGUGGGGAGCGAACAGG
rnacentral:rRNA from 1 species